UACGUAGGGUGCAAGCGUUAUCCGGAAUUAUUGGGCGUAAAGAGCUCGUAGGCGGUUUGUCGCGUCUGCUGUGAAAACUGGAGGCUCAACCUCGCGCCUGCAGGUGGGUACGGGCAGACUAGAGUGCGGUAGGGGAGAUUGGAAUUCCUGGUGUAGCGGUGGAAUGCGCAGAUAUCAGGAGGAACACCGAUGGCGAAGGCAGAUCUCUGGGCCGUUACUGACGCUGAGGAGCGAAAGCGUGGGGAGCGAACAGG
rnacentral:rRNA from 1 species